rnacentral:rRNA from 1 species
AGAUUGAACGCUGGCGGCAGGCCUAACACAUGCAAGUCGAGCGGUAGAGAGGUGCUUGCAUCUCUUGAGAGCGGCGGACGGGUGAGUAAUGCCUAGGAAUCUGCCUAGUGGUGGGGGAUAACGUUCGGAAACGGACGCUAAUACCGCAUACGUCCUACGGGAGAAAGCGGGGGACCUUCGGGCCUCGCGCCAUUAGAUGAGCCUAGGUCGGAUUAGCUAGUUGGUGAGGUAAUGGCUCACCAAGGCGACGAUCCGUAACUGGUCUGAGAGGAUGAUCAGUCACACUGGAACUGAGACACGGUCCUGACUCCUACGGGAGCAGCAGUGGGGAAUAUUGGACAAUGGGCGAAAAGCCCUAGACUACCGACGACC